rnacentral:rRNA from 1 species
UACAGAGGUCUCAAGCGUUGUUCGGAUUCAUUGGGCGUGAAAGGGUGCGUAGGCGGCGCGGUAAGUCGGGUGUGAAAAUCUCGGGGCUUAACUCCGAAACUGCAUUCGAUACUGCCGUGCUUGAGGACUGGAGAGGAGACUGGAAUUUACGGUGUAGCGGUGAAAUGCGUAGAUAUCGUAAGGAAGACCAGUGGCGAAGGCGGGUCUCUGGACAGUUCCGUGACGCUGAGGCAACGA